rnacentral:piRNA from 1 species
UACAUCCCGUCCUAUGUUACGUUUCCAC